UUUCGGUUUUCAACCCAAUCCAGUGUUUACAUGCUCUCGCGAUCGUAUUAGAAAAUCUCAUUCGGAUCGAUUAACUUGUUUACAUGAAGGUUUUUCAGUCCGAUUACUAACGGGUUAUUUGGUAGCAUGUAAACGUGUUUGAGUGAACGCCACCGUCGUUCUGCUGUUUCUCCGACUCUCAGGAUCCGUUCAGCUGAAUGAUUAGUUUGUCAUUUCCACCCAGAGUAAGUGUUGGAGAUCUCACUCUUCUGUCUGUUCAGCUGCAUCAUGGGAGACACACGAACACCCCGAGAUCAAGAGCUUUCUCCAGGAUGCAGUUCAGUUCAUCAGAAGAGAUCAGAACCAGAGCCCAGCUGUGUGUUUAUGAAGAGUGACGAGUCUAUAGAUCAUACACAACAUUUCAGUUCAGUUCACCAGAAGAAGUCAGAACCAGAGCCCAGCUGUGUGUCUAUGAGGAGUGACGCUUCUUUGGAUCCUCCAGUUAAUUUUAAGAGAGAUGACACGCGGUUCAACCUCAAGUAUUAUAUUUUUGUAAAAGAUUUGAUUAUAGUAGAAUAUUAUAAAUUAAACUGUCGUAAUUA